GAAAUAUAUAAACAUCCCAUCAGUCAGCAUCCCAGUAAGUGUGGAGAUUGUACACCAUGUCUCGGAGCUGUUCCGGGGAAAUCGGGACACCGUCAAUACUUCUGUCCUUAUGGAUCCUCUGAAAGACCAGCUGAUGAUCUUCAAGGCUCUUCAAGACGUCCUAGUUCUCUCAGUGUGGUGCAGCCAGGCCCCCAGCGCAUCCAGAGGAGCAGGCAGGGAUGUGUCCAGCAGCAGGUGCCAAUCCAGCAGCUAAAAAUUCAUCAAAAUGAGAGGGAGUCUCCACAGGGCAUGUGUAGGAUGCUUCAUGCUCA